GCCCUCGGUCGGAUGGGACUGAGGGUGCCGCCGCCACCACGUCGGGGACUGUUGACAGCCAGAACCUUUAAGCAUAACAGAGUCACCUGGUCUCAAGAUUCUACCCUCCAAGAAAGUCUUGCCAUGAUUGGAUAGGACCCCCAGAUAAAUAUUCAAACCUUCGACCUGUUCACUUUUACAUACCUGAAAAUGAAUCUCCAUUGGAACAAAAGCUUAGAAAAUUAAGACAAGAAACACAAGAAUGGAAUCAACAGUUCUGGGCAAACCAGAAUUUGACUUUUAGUAAGGAAAAAGAAGAAUUUAUUCACUCAAGACUAAAAACUAAAGGCCUGGGCCUGAGAACUGAAUCAGGUGGUUAUGAUGGAUGACCAACCUCUGACCUUUGACUUUCGUCCUGAGGUCUCAGCCUUUGCAGCUUUUCCCUCUCCAAACCAGCUUCUCUUCUGAUUCCUGAUCUCAGUUCAGUGCUCAAAAUAGCCUUUCCUUAUUUUCUCUUGGUGUUGAUGUUAGGCCUGAAUAACAUCUCAUGCUGUUUGUUAAACAGAUGUCUGCUGCCAAAAAGUUGUUCUGAUAGAAAAUCCAAAAUCAUCGACCCCAAAAGCCAAGUCUGUCAUUGGGCUAAAGUGCCAUUCCUACUAAUCCUUUGCCUCACCUGAUUCAUUUGGAAUAAAGGGCCGGGAGCUCGAGUCACCCCCG
rnacentral:sRNA from 1 species